GACGAACGCUGGCGGCGUGCUUAACACAUGCAAGUCGAGCGGUAAGGCCCUUUCGGGGGUACACGCGCGGCGAACGGGUGAGUAACACGUGGGUGACCUGCCCUCAGCUCUGGGAUAAGCCUGGGAAACCGGGUCUAAUACUGGAUAUGACUCCAUGACGCAUGUUGUGGGGUGGAAAGCCUUGUGCGGCUGAGGAUGGGCCCGCGGCCUAUCAGCUUGUUGGUGGGGUGANGGCCUACCAAGGCGACGACGGUAG
rnacentral:rRNA from 1 species